ACAGAAUGUUUAAUUGAUGCUCAGUUCCCCCAGGAGUAACACAAACUUAAUGUGUCGUUACUGAAGUGAUAAUAGGGAUGGUAUAGUAGAACUAUAGCAUAUUCUUCCUGUCAUGCUAGGACAAAAGCUGUUAUGUUGGGAAUGAACUGUUACAAGUAAGCACCUGGAACACUCAAAAAGCCUAUUUAACCUGCUCAUUUUUAAACUGUGUUAUAAAAGAGAGAGAGCUGAUCAUUUUGUUCUAUCAAUUUUUAUUAAAAAAGACAAAUAUUUCCAAUCAAGAGUAAUUUAAUGUUGUUUCCCAAGUGGUGUUGCACCCUUCUUUGGUUCUGAGAAAAGAUGUCUGUUUAAAUGGAAGACAAACGUAUAUGCCCCAGUUUCAUCCAACUUCACUGCACCAGCAGUUUACCUAAACCCAAAAGGAAAUUUUUUUGUGGAGGCCUCUUAUUAAAAGUUAGUAGCAAAUCACU